AAUUACACCGAGCGGCGGGUAGAAUCCUUUGCAGACGACUUAAAUACGCGACGGGGUAUUGUAAGUGGCAGAGUGGCCUUGCUGCCACGAUCCACUGAGAUUCACCCUUUGUCGCUAAGAUUCGA